rnacentral:rRNA from 1 species
GAUGAACGCUGGCGGCGUGCCUAAUACAUGCAAGUCGAGCGAACAGACGAGGAGCUUGCUCCUCUGACGUUAGCGGCGGACGGGUGAGUAACACGUGGAUAACCUACCUAUAAGACUGGGAUAACUUCGGGAAACCGGAGCUAAUACCGGAUAAUAUAUUGAACCGCAUGGUUCAAUAGUGAAAGACGGCUUUGCUGUCACUUAUAGCUGGAUCCGCGCCGCAUUAGCUAGUUGGUAAGGUAACGGCUUACCAAGGCAACGAUGCGUAGCCGACCUGAGAGGGUGAUCGGCCACACUGGAACUGAGACACGGUCCAGACUCCUACGGGAGGCAGCAGUAGGGAAUCUUCCGCAAUGGGCGAAAGCCUGACGGAGCAACGCCGCGUGAGUGAUGAAGGUCUUCGGAUCGUAAAACUCUGUUAUUAGGGAAGAACAAAUGUGUAAGUAACUAUGCACGUCUUGACGGUACCUAAACAGAAAGCCACGGCUAACUACGUG